AAUCAUGUUGCAGCCUUGCUGUAUCAGUCUGCUGAUUACAGCCAGAAGGGACUUACAGCUGUACCCCCAACACAAAGCUGCACAGAUUCUGAACAGCAGUGGCACAAACCUCGUACUCAGGGCUUCAAACCUGGUCCGACCAAUCAGAUGGUGAUAGUAUCAGCAAGACCCAAAGAAAGAAGACUGGCUGAAGGAAUCCGGAGUAAUUUAUACAAAGCAGCCUCAAACCUGAC